rnacentral:rRNA from 1 species
CCUACGGGUGGCAGCAGUAGGGAAUAUUGGACAAUGGGCGCAAGCCUGAUCCAGCCAUCCCGCGUGAAGGAUUAAGGCCCUCUGGGUUGUAAACUUCUUUUCUUUGGGAAUAAAAACUCCGAUUCAUCGGAGCUUGAAGGUACCAGAGGAAUAAGCACCGGCUAACUCCGUGCCAGCAGCCGCGGUAAUACGGAGGGUGCAAGCGUUACUCGGUUUAACGGGGGUUUAGGGGGCCGUGGAAGUCAGUGGUGAAAGCCCGGAGCUCAACUCCGGAACUGCCAUUGAUACUGCUUAGCUUGAAUCAGGUCGAGGUGGAUGGAAUAUUACAUGUAGCGGUGAAAUGCUUAGAUAUGUAAUAGAACACCGAUUGCGAAGGCAGUUCACUAGGCCUGUAUUGACACUGAGGCACGAAAGCGUGGGGAUCAAACAGGAUUAGAUACCCGAGUAGUC